rnacentral:snRNA from 1 species
AUUACCACCGAGCGGCGGGUAG